CCCAACCAAUGGACAGAAGCUGCUGACCCAUGUGGUUGAAUUUGGGAAAAGCUGGAAGGGGGUGACACUUUAGUAGGAACAGCAGUCCCAACUAACCUGGACCUCUGAGAUCUCUCAGACACUCGGCCACCAACAAGAGAUAAACAUAACUAAAGUGGAAGUCUGUUAUCUCUACAAUCAAGUAACCCAAUGGAAUUGCAAGAAUACAUAGAUCCAUUUGAGUAGAAAUUUACACUAAUGAGCACCAAGAGCCACUGCAUAACUUGAAGAGCAGCACACCAAAUGCGAAGCUAAUUGAAGGGUUUUGAAUCGCAGGAGAGCUGAGCAUCAGAGCAACACAAAUUCGAGUUCAC